UUCUAUAUUGCAAUUUUAUGUAGGAUUCUUUUGUAUUUUGGUAUACUGUUUUGAUUUUGUUAGAUUUUGAGUAUUUCUUGAUGAUUCAAUCGGUGCAAACUGUUUAGUUUCCGAGUCUUUUGAUUUAAUGAAUCUAUACAUGUUAUGUCAAAGUCAUGUGCUUCCAAGAAUUGUCAUCAGAUCUUAGUAGUACUUUUCUUGAUUUGAUCUUGAGUCCAGUUUAUAAUAUGAAUUGUUUGAUCCUUU
rnacentral:lncRNA from 1 species